rnacentral:rRNA from 1 species
AUGCUCCAAGACGGGCCGGGCUGGGCUGGGCCGGGCCGACCCGCACGUCCAGACCCACACCGAUGGGGCAGAUUCGAUCGCGUGGAGUGGAGUAGAGUAGAUCCAGACCCACGCACGCCCGCCAAUCACCGCGUGGCCAAAUCCCGAGCAUUUAUUAAUUUCUUUCUCCUCCAGUCUUCUCUGACCCUCCCUCCCCUCUCCCCUGCGCAAGUGCACAGUGGGUCAGUGCCGCGGCGAGCUCCCCCAGCCUCGGCCUCCCCACCCGAUCUGGUCGCCCCCCGCCCGCGGACGCAGCCCCCGCCAAACCCUAGGGCUCCGCCGCGCCGCCGCGCGAAGGGGCGCUUCGCUGCUCGCCCGCCCGUGAUGGAGCCCGCCCCGCAGCUCAAGGCCGAGCCCUGGCGCCCGCCGCACCGCGCCGGCGCGGCCGGCGGGCGCGCGGCGGGGGAGGCGUCCUCCGCCGUCACGGGCCAGAGCAGCGGCAGCCGCCCGCGGAGGAGGCAGCGGGAGCCUCCCGCGUCCGAGGACGACUCGGCCUCCGCCAGGCCCGUCUCCACCUCCGGCGGCGGCGGCCAGGAUUUGACUGAUGCAGAAGCAAAGCGUUUCAAGGCAAAUAAAUCCAGUGAUGAGAAUGGCAGUUUCAGAAAAGAUGCUGAAGCUGAUUCAAGAAAUGCUAGUAAGGCUGUUGAUCAAAAUCCUCCACCACCAAAGCAAGAUUUCAUCCAUGUGAGGGCAAGAAGGGGUCAAGCAACUGACAGCCAUAGCCUUGCAGAAAGGGCACGGCGUGAGAAAAUAACCGAGCGGAUGAAAAUUCUCCAAGAUCUUGUCCCUGGAUGUAAUAAGGUUAUUGGCAAAGCAUCAGUCCUUGAUGAGAUAAUCAAUUAUGUCCAAGCUUUGGAACGUCAAAUUGAGUUCCUGUCCAUGAAGCUUGAGGCGGUUAAUGCCCAUGCCCAUGCUCACAACGGAGUUGAAACAUUUCCAACUAAAGACUUCGCUGCGCCAACAUACAACACAGCUCCAGGGUUAACAUUUGACCCACAAACACCAAGGGAGUAUGCCCAGGGCUCGCCGGCUGCAGAAUGGCUUCACAUGCAGAUUGGUGGCACCUACGAAAGAGUGACAUGA